GACGAACGCUGGCGGCGUGCCUAAUACAUGCAAGUCGAGCGAACAGAGAAGGAGCUUGCUCCUUUGACGUUAGCGGCGGACGGGUGAGUAACACGUGGGCAACCUACCCUAUAGUUUGGGAUAACUCCGGGAAACCGGGGCUAAUACCAAAUAAUCUUUUGUCCCUCAUGGGACAAUACUGAAAGACGGUUUCUGCUGUCGCUAUAGGAUGGGCCCGCGGCGCAUUAGCUAGUUGGUGAGGUAACGGCUCACCAAGGCAACGAUGCGUAGCCGACCUGAGAGGGUGAUCGGCCACACUGGGACUGAGACACGGCCCAGACUCCUACGGGAGGCAGCAGUAGGGAAUCUUCCACAAUGGGCGAAAGCCUGAUGGAGCAACGCCGCGUGAGUGAAGAAGGAUUUCGGUUCGUAAAACUCUGUUGUAAGGGAAGAACAAGUACAGUAGUAACUGGCUGUACCUUGACGGUACCUUAUUAGAAAGCCACGGCUAACUACGUGCCAGCAGCCGCGGUAAUACGUAGGUGGCAAGCGUUGUCCGGAAUUAUUGGGCGUAAAGCGCGCGCAGGUGGUUUCUUAAGUCUGAUGUGAAAGCCCACGGCUCAACCGUGGAGGGUCAUUGGAAACUGGGAGACUUGAGUGCAGAAGAGGAUAGUGGAAUUCCAAGUGUAGCGGUGAAAUGCGUAGAGAUUUGGAGGAACACCAGUGGCGAAGGCGACUAUCUGGUCUGUAACUGACACUGAGGCGCGAAAGCGUGGGGAGCAAACAGGAUUAGAUACCCUGGUAGUCCACGCCGUAAACGAUGAGUGCUAAGUGUUAGGGGGUUUCCGCCCCUUAGUGCUGCAGCUAACGCAUUAAGCACUCCGCCUGGGGAGUACGGUCGCAAGACUGAAACUCAAAGGAAUUGACGGGGGCCCGCACAAGCGGUGGAGCAUGUGGUUUAAUUCGAAGCAACGCGAAGAACCUUACCAGGUCUUGACAUCCCGUUGACCACUGUAGAGAUAUGGUUUUCCCUUCGGGGACAACGGUGACAGGUGGUGCAUGGUUGUCGUCAGCUCGUGUCGUGAGAUGUUGGGUUAAGUCCCGCAACGAGCGCAACCCUUGAUCUUAGUUGCCAUCAUUUAGUUGGGCACUCUAAGGUGACUGCCGGUGACAAACCGGAGGAAGGUGGGGAUGACGUCAAAUCAUCAUGCCCCUUAUGACCUGGGCUACACACGUGCUACAAUGGACGAUACAAACGGUUGCCAACUCGCGAGAGGGAGCUAAUCCGAUAAAGUCGUUCUCAGUUCGGAUUGUAGGCUGCAACUCGCCUACAUGAAGCCGGAAUCGCUAGUAAUCGCGGAUCAGCAUGCCGCGGUGAAUACGUUCCCGGGCCUUGUACACACCGCCCGUCACACCACGAGAGUUUGUAACACCCGAAGUCGGUGAGGUAACCUUUUGGAGCCAGCCGCCGAAGGUGGGAUAGAUGAUUGGGGUGAAGUCGUAACAAGGUAGCCGUAUCGGAAGGUGCGGCUGGAUCACCUCCUUUCUAAGGAUAUUUUCGGAAUACAAACCUUGGGUUUGUAAGAUUACGUUUUGCGUUCAGUUUUGAAGGUUCAUCAUUACGAUGAAAUACUUCAAAACUUGUUCUUUGAAAACUGGAUAAAACGACAUUGAAAUUGUAACAAACACAUUUAUUUUUUAAGUUUUUUAUAGGCUUAAUAACUAAAUAGGGUUUCAAGACACAAGCAGUUCUAGGAAGCGAACGAGUGAAUGAAGGAGCGUACUUACGUACGUGACUGAUUGAACGAGAGAAGCUGACAACGAAAUGCGCAGUUGAUUGGAAGCCGAUAGGUUAAGUUAUUAAGGGCGCACGGCGAAUGCCUUGGCACUAGGAGCCGAAGAAGGACGGCACUAACACCGAUAUGCUUCGGGGAGCUGUAAGUGAGCUUUGAUCCGGAGAUUUCCGAAUGGGGGAACCCACUACGUUUAAUCGCGUAGUAUCUUGACGUGAAUACAUAGCGUCUUGAAGGCAGACCCAGGGAACUGAAACAUCUAAGUACCUGGAGGAAGAGAAAGAAAAAUCGAUUCCCUGAGUAGCGGCGAGCGAAACGGGAAGAGCCCAAACCAAGAGGCUUGCCUCUUGGGGUUGUAGGACACUCUAUACGGAGUUACAAAGGAAUGAGUUAGAUGAAGCGACUUGGAAAGGUCCGCCAGAGCAGGUAAAAGCCCUGUAGUCGAAAGUUCGUUCCCUCCAGAGUGGAUCCUGAGUACGGCGGAACACGUGAAAUUCCGUCGGAAUCCGGGAGGACCAUCUCCCAAGGCUAAAUACUACCUAGUGACCGAUAGUGAACC
rnacentral:rRNA from 1 species